rnacentral:rRNA from 1 species
CGGACGGGUGAGUAACGCGUGGGUAACCUGCCUCACACUGGGGGAGUAACAGUUAGAAAUAGCUGCUAAUACCGCAUAAGCGCACGGUUCCGCAUGGAACAGUGUGAAAAACUCCGGUGGUGUGAGAUGGACCCGCGUCUGAUUAGCCAGUUGGCGGGGUGACGGCCCACCAAAGCGACGAUCAGUAGCCGGCCUGAGAGGGUGAACGGCCACAUUGGGACUGAGACACGGCCCAA